rnacentral:rRNA from 1 species
ACUGCUCAGUAACACGUGGACAACCUGCCCUUAGGUUGGGUAUAAACCCGGGAAACUGGGUAUAAUACCCGAUAGGCCUCGAUUGCUGGAAUGCAUCGAGAUUUAAAGCUCCGGCGCCUAAGGAUGGGUCUGCGGCCUAUCAGGUAGUAGUGGGUGUAGCGUACCUACUAGCCUACGACGGGUACGGGUUGUGAGAGCAAGAGCCCGGAGAUGGAUUCUGAGACACGAAUCCAGGCCCUACGGGGUGCAGCAGGCGCGAAAACUUUACAAUGCUGGCAACAGCGAUAAGGGAACCUCGAGUGCCAGGUUACAAAUCUGGCUGUCGAGAUGCCUAAAAAGCAUUUCAUAGCAAGGGCCGGGCAAGACCGGUGCCAGCCGCCGCGGUAACACCGGCGGCUCGAGUGGUAACCGUUAUUAUUGGGUCUAAAGGGUCUGUAGCCGGCCGGAUAAGUCUCUUGAGAAAUCUGGCAGCUUAACUGUCAGGCUUUCAGGAGAUACUGUCUGGCUCGAGGCCGGGAGAGGUGAGAGGUACUUCAGGGGUAGGGGUGAAAUCUUGUAAUCCUUGAAGGACCACCAGUGGCGAAGGCGUCUCACCAGAACGGACCUGACGGCAAGGGACGAAAGCUAGGGGCACGAACCGGAUUAGAUACCCGGGUAGUCCUAGCCGUAAACGAUACUCGCUAGGUGUCGGCCACGGUGCGACCGUUGUCGGUGCCGUAGGGAAGCCGUGAAGCGAGCCACCUGGGAAGUACGGCCGCAAGGCUGAAACUUAAAGGAAUUGGCGGGGGAGCAC